UACGGAGGGUGCGAGCGUUAUCCGGAAUUACUGGGUUUAAAGGGUGCGUAGGCGGCUAUGUAAGUCAGGAGUGAAAGUUUGCGGCUCGACCGUAAAAUUGCUUUUGAUACUGCAUGGCUGGAAUUAGGAUGAGGUCAGCGGAAUGUGGCAUGUAGCGGUGAAAUGCAUAGAUAUGCCAUAGAACACCAAUUGCGAAGGCAGCUGGCUAGACCUGGAUUGACGCUGAGGCACGAAAGCGUGGGGAGCGAACAGG
rnacentral:rRNA from 1 species